rnacentral:rRNA from 1 species
CGUAAAGAACCUGCCUCAUAGACUGGGACAACUAUUGGAAACGAUAGCUAAUACCGGAUAACAGCAUUAGCUGCAUGGUUGAUGUUUAAAAGUUGGUUUUGCUAACACUAUGAGAUGGCUUUGCGGUGCAUUAGCUAGUUGGUGGGGUAAAGGCCUACCAAGGCGACGAUGCAUAGCCGACCUGAGAGGGUGAUCGGCCACACUGGGACUGAGACACGGCCCAG